rnacentral:rRNA from 1 species
CCUACGGGAGGCAGCAGUGGGGAAUAUUGCACAAUGGGGGAAACCCUGAUGCAGCGACGCCGCGUGAGUGAUGAAGUAUCUCGGUACGUAAAGCUCUAUUAGUAGGGAAGAAAAUGACGGUACCUGACUAAGAAGCCCCGGCUAACUACGUGCCAGCAGCCGCGGUAAUACGUAGGGGGCAAGCGUUAUCCGGAUUUACUGGGUGUAAAGGGAGCGUAGACGGCAGCACAAGUCUGGAGUGAAAUCCCGGGGCUUAACCCCGGAACUGCUGUGGAAACUGUGCGGCUGGAGUGCAGGAGAGGUAAGCGGAAUGCCUGGUGUAGCGGUGAAAUGCGUAGAUAUUAGGAGGAACACCGAUGGCGAAGGCGGCUUACUGGACUGUAACUGACGUUGAGGCACGAAAGCGUGGGGAGCAAACAGGAUUAGAUACCCUGGUAGUC